rnacentral:rRNA from 1 species
GAUGAACGCUGGCGGCGUGCCUAAUACAUGCAAGUCGAGCGAACAGACGAGGAGCUUGCUGCUCUGACGUUAGCGGCGGACGGGUGAGUAACACGUGGAUAACCUACCUAUAAGACGGGGAUAACUUCGGGAAACCGGAGCUAAUACCGGAGAAGAUAUUGAACCGCAGGGUGCAAUAGUGAAAGACGGUGUUGCUGUCUCUAAUAGAUGGAUCCGCGCCGGAUUAGCUAGUUGGUAAGGUAACGGCUUACCAAGGCAACGAUGCGUAUCCGACCUGAGAGGGUGAUCGGCCGCACUGGAACUGAGACACGGUCCAGACUCCUACGGGAGGCCGCAGUAGGGAAUCUUCCGCAGUGGGCGAAAGCCUGACGGAGCAACGCCGCGUGAGUGAUGAAGGUCUUCGGAUCGUAAAACUCUGUUAUUAGGGAAGAACAAAUGUGUAAGUAACUAUGCCCGUCUUGACGGUACCUAAUCAGAAAGCCCCGGCUAACUACGUG